rnacentral:lncRNA from 1 species
GGUGGUUUUGGCUCUGUUUACAAAGGAACAUUUAAUCAAGGAUAUGUUCAUCUUCUCUUAAGGGAUAGUGAGAUAGUAGAUGAGAUUGGAAUAGCUGUUGCAAUCAAAGUAUUUAACCUUCAACGUAGAGGUGCAGUGAGAAGUUUCAACACUGAGUGUCAAAUUUUAAACAACAUUGACCACAAAUAUCUUGUAAAGCUUAUAGCCACAUGCACAAGUGUGGAUCAAGACGGUCACGAUUUUCGAGCUAUUCUUUUUGAGUUCAUGGAUCAUGGGAGUUUAGAGAUGUGGCUGCACCCAAAAUAUAAAACUAACAUUGAUAGUCCCGUAAAACCUCGAAUACUAACCCUUUUUGCCAGAAUAAGCAUAGCUACUGACGUAGCCCUUGCACUUGAUUAUCUUCAUUAUCAAUGCAAGAAUGGCAUAAUUCACUGUGAUCUAAAGCCAGGCAACAUUUUGAUAGACAAAAAUAUGUCUGCACAUAUUGCAGAUUUUGGAUUGGCAAUAACUCUUCCUAAAUACCAAAAUAUGAACCAUUGCAGCAGUUCAACUGGUAUACGAGGAACGACCGGAUAUAUAGCUCCAGGUAAAGUUACUAUAACUUGAAAUUGAAUUAAAUUUUUAUGAAUUCAUUGGGGGCCAAAUGUAAGACUUGAUUUGUUCUAGUUUAGCAUAGAAUGAACAUAUCACAUAUACCAAUGUUUUAUUUUACCAAUUAUAUACAUUACCCAGACUCGGCUAAAAAGUGUCAAACAUGGAUAUGUGUCCAAGUGUCGGACUCGGCAAUAUUCUGAAAAUUUUACAUGUUUAUGGCCUAAAAGAAGGGUCGGAGUGUCAAUGCCCAUGUCCGAGUGUCCGACAUGGGUAUUUCAGACAAAAUGAAGAGUCGGGGUAACAUAGAUUAUACUAAUUAUUUUAUAAAGAGAAGAUAGAAUAAGAGAGAGCCAAACAGAAUUUAUUAAGCUAUGAAGGGCCAGCACCCCCCCCUCCCCCGCCCAAAAAAAAAAAAACAAAAGCCCGAAUCAAUAAGAUAAAGUACAGCUUACAUCUCAACUUUUAGGUGUUAUGCUCUCAUUAUUUUGUUUACAUCAUCAAUACUUAUGUAGUUACGUGUUAUCUUCUAUUAAUCUGAUGAUGUUAAUCUUCCAAUAAUUUCUUUUACUUUCUUUUUUCUUAAUUAUAACAUCCAUUAGACCAUUAGCUCUCUCAUAUCAUCAUUUUAUCUUUUCUUUAAUAUUAUUCGCACAAAUAAAUGUCCACUUAGUUUACAAAUUAUGGUAUGUAAUAUUUAAGAUUUGUGUAUUAUUAUUUUCAAUUUUUUAUUUUUAAUUUAUUAUGAUUAUUAUAACUGUGUACUGAACUUCACACGUUUAAUUGUUACUGUUAUUAAUAUAUAUUCAAGAUAUUUAUACAAAUAUGAAUUUUUACCAUAUAUAUAAGUAGACAUCAAUCUUGGAAUCUAGUACUAUAAUAAAACUUAGAAUGGUCUUUGCUUUUUCUUUUUCUCUUUUACUUUCUUUGGCAAAGUGACUGUUUAUUACAAAAUAGAUCUAUGGUUACUUUUUGCUAUUAGUAUAUCUCUUAUUGUUUUACUAUCCAUGCUGCAGUUUCAUAAACAUUUCUAUAUUUGCUUUUAACAACAGAUAUCGUGUAUUACGUAUUACCAAUAUUCGUUGAUCCAAAUUUUUUUAUACUUUGAUCAUGGCCCAGGUCCUAGAUUUAGCAAUGUAAUGGUGAAAAUAAUUUAAACGUUUAUGCACAUUUUUUGAAGUAAUGGCAGUAGGCAUUAAGAGUGAGAGUCAUUGCCUGACUGACGAAGAGCUCCUAAAGCUUCCAUUUCCUCUUGACAAUUUGUACUAUAUAUUGUAAUUUUUGGCUGAAGCUUUAAUUUAUAUUUUCUUGGUUAUUAGAGUAUGGUCUAGGAUGCAAGAUGACAACCAAGGGAGACACAUACAGCUUUGGGAUUCUAUUACUGGAGAUGCUGACAGGGAAGAAGCCUACUCAUCGUAUGUUUCGGGGAGGUCUUACCCUUCACAACUUUGUUUCGCUGGCAUUGCCUGACAAUGUAUUUAACAUUACUGACACACUCAUGAAGGUAAUGACAUCUUCAAAUACAGGGGAUAGCAAAAGAGUAGAGGAUUGCCUGACUAGAAUGUUCAACAUUGGUUUAGCAUGCUCCAACAUAUCACCAAAGAAUCGACCAGACAUGCGUACCGUAUUAAGGGAGCUGGAAUCUAUUAGGAACAGCUUUUAAGUUAAAUAUAUUUGUGCCACCUCGCAUUUAAAAGAAUAAUACAGAGAUACAACCUUUAGUCCCUCGUUGUUGAUUACUCAGUAUGAUCUCAUUAGUAAACUAAUCGUCUUUUUUCGGACCUGGAAUCGUGUUUCUAAUAUAUUUUAUUGCUAAUGUAUAUGUUCGUCCUACAGAUAAUAAGAGUUUGUGUAACCAACAGCGUAAAAUAAUUCAUCAGCAAGCAACUCCUGGUCGAAAUUUGAUACUAUUACUAGACAGUUAAGUACAAUUAGAUCCAAAAUUCAUAAAUUUUCCCUAAUAAUCGCCACAAAUUUAUAGAGCAGAAACACAUCUUACCUGCAAUGUUAAGCUUCGGAGCAACUCCUUCACUUUUGGAGAACAAUUUAUCAACUUCCUGUAGCUACUCCGAAUACAUUAUCUGCAAAUAGUAAAUGAAAAUAAAGUUCACAAAUAAUUUACAACAAAAUAAACUCUUUUGAGCAUUUUAACAAACAGGUAGAGUGUUGAUACCUUCUGCAACGCAAGUUUCGCUUGCAUAUCUGUACGACUGUACCCCUGAUAGAAAGGCUAGUUUAUAAUCCGUUUUGAAAUUUUAAAUUUUUCAUAGAUAUGCCGAUUAUGUGAGUUUUUGUUUUUCUUCAAAGGAUUCAGAGGACAUGCCGAUUAUGUUACACGAGCUAGAAUUUAUCGGGGAACAAUUUAGAUUUAGACUAAUUAGAACCUGUUUGGUCUUAUCUACCCCCGUUCCGGAGUAUUGGUCCUCCCUUCCACAAUUUUCAAGAGAAUGGUUUGCAUAUCAGUGUCGAGAAGAUGGCCCAAAUCCCGAUCUAUUAUUUUUGCAAUUCAAGUCGCUAGAUUUCGUAUAAUAUUUUACUCUUAAAACAUCAUAUCGUGUUAUGUUUUGUUGUGUUCUUCAGAGAUAAACGUUUUUUUUUUUANAGAUAAGAUUAAAUGUUUUGCUUCAGGCCAAUACAGGUUGUACUCAGACGUAUGCUAUAGGAAGUUUGCAAGCUGCAGUCUCGAUGGCUCUAAGAAACAGGAGAUCUCUACUUUGGAACAGGUACACUUUUUCAUAGUUUAAUGCAUCUAGAUUAUCACUCACACCUUCAAUCUUUUAUUGAAUUCCCAAGUGUUGUAGGUUAGAAGUUUCAGAAAUGCCCUCUCCAAAUCUAGGGGAAACAAAUUCAGGUAGAACCGACUGGAAUGUAGCCACAGCAAGGCAGUUGUUGGAUCCUUUUCCUCAGAUGGCUCCAAAUUUAGCCACAGUGUCAUACAUGGAUCUCCAUAAAGCAACAAAUGGGUUUUCCUCAGCCAACUUAGUCGGUGCAGGUGGUUUUGGCUCUGUUUACAAAGGAACAUUUAAUCAAGGAUAUGUUCAUCUUCUCUUAAGGGAUAGUGAGAUAGUAGAUGAGAUUGGAAUAGCUGUUGCAAUCAAAGUAUUUAACCUUCAACGUAGAGGUGCAGUGAGAAGUUUCAACACUGAGUGUCAAAUUUUAAACAACAUUGACCACAAAUAUCUUGUAAAGCUUAUAGC